ensembl:lncRNA
GUGAAGUUGGAGGGUAGUAGAAGAGGACUUAUCUUUUUGCUGACCUUGAUGGGUUUGUUUAGUCCCAGUGUUUGAUCUCCUUCUAUUCUCCAGGUAGCCUCUUUCGUGUUUCCACUGUUUCCAUUACCCUUAUUUCCCAAUAGCCAGCUCUGCAGCUCAAACUGAGAUUAGUCUUUGCAAUAUCAGCGCUUUGAGUCUCUGGUGGCAUACCUAGUCUAAUUGGAUUUGCGUGGGUGCGUGCGGCAUAGGAUUGUUGUACUGUAUCAGUAUGUUGAAGCUGGAGCAGAAAGCGAGAGUAGCAUGAAAAUGAAAAUGUUCCUUUUGUUUUAUUUUAACUCUCCAGAACCUUCACAAAGGGACUCGCUUCCGGAUGUUACCAUGGCAACCUGGCAGGGGCUGCCAAAGGGAGUGAAGCGGAAGGAGAGGCUGGAGCACUGUGAGGGAGGGAGAAGCCAAGCAGCUGCUCAAGCAUGGAGAGGGACGAUCCCGAAGGUGAAGAAGCCGGAUGUGGAGGUCCUGGGCUGGCAUGGUGACACGUGGUCUGCAGUUGUGAGGCCGGUGGGACGUACUGACAAAUUCUAUAAAACGACAUUGGAGUCAGCUUACGGUAGAGAAAUUAACAUUUAAUUCUCUGGCAACAGCUCUGGUGGAUAUUCCUGCAGUCAGCAUUCCAAUUGCACGCUCCAACAAAACUUGAGACGUGUUGCACUGUGUUGUGUGACAAAACUGCACAUUUUAAACUGGCCUUUUAUUGUGCCCAGUACAAGGUGCACUUGUGUAAUGAUCAUGCUGUUUAAUCAGCUUUUUGAUAUGCCACACCUGUCAGGUGGAUGUAAACAAAUUUGUGCACAAAAUGUGAGAGAAAUACUCUUUUUAUGCGUGUAUAAUAUUUCUGGGAUUUUAUUUCAGCUCAUGAAACAUGGGACAAACACUUUACAUGUUGCAUAUAUAUUUUUGUUCAGUGUAUAUGUAUGCCUCCAGACAAGCAGUCAGUAUUUGUAGUUGUUGAAUUCUAUUUUAAUCGCAAAUCAAGUAAUAUGACAAAUAAGCGAGGGGUGUUCUGUUAAAGGCCCAGUGAUGUCAAAACAUGCUGUGUUUUAUAUAUAUUUCCACACUGAGGUUUUAAUAAUAUUGGAAAAUUGUGAAAAUUAUGAUAAUGCCCUUUUAGUGUAAAAGCUGUUUGAAAUUACUACUCUGACAGUCUUACCAAAAUUCUUGCUUAAAAAGCUAUUUUGUUUCUUCUUCACAAUUUUAAUUGAAAACAAUCACAGUAAGGUACUUAAUUGUUACCCAAAAAACGAUUUGAUAGAGAUCAAAACAUCUGCAUAUGGACCUUUAACCCUCUCAUCUUGACCUCGGACCUAUAGGCUUUAAAGUGGCUCAUAUGUGCCACACAUAUUGUCCCCAGCUGUGUCAAGGUGCAGCAAUAUUUAUCCAUAAACACUGUAAUACAGACACAUUUGGUGGCUUUGAUGCCAUAAAGGAAGAAAUUCUCAAAGCUAUGGCAUGUAACGACAAAUUCUGUGGCGAAACAGAUCCCAGAGGGAUCCCCCUUUUCACGCACGCACACACGCACACACACACACGCACACACAUAUACAGACAGACAGACAGACAAACAUACCCAAACACACACCUUUGUUUCCGACGCCCCUCUUUCAUGUCAGAUGACCUGUCCCAACUCUCAACGUUGUGUGAUGGACCUGUGUUCGACGUCAUCACAACAUUAAGGUUUACAUGGCAGAACCAGGGGAUUCAUUUAGAAGCUGUCACACAGGAAUUAGUUUGAAAGGGGGAAACAUGAUUCGCCAAAGCUUCCUCCAUCGAGCGUCAUGUGAAGGGGUUAGAGGGGGUGUCCCCGUGUUGUGUUAGAUGUUGUGUGCUGAGCUGCACGUGUGACAGCCUAAGACUUGAUCACACACAAAAGCAUGUUCCCACUCGCUGCUCUCUGACAGAAAGAUCCACCUUCAAAAGUCCAUAAUGGAGAUUUUUUGUUGUUGAUCUUUUUGAAUAGAAGAAGAGGAUUGUUAAUUCCUCUUACAGUAUUGGUUAAGAUGACAGUAUGUCUGAAAAGGCUUUGAGCGCAUGCAUAAUCCACAGAGGUGCGGAACACCAGAGGAUAUACCCUGGGUUCGCUUUGGUUUGACGUGAGUCACCGCAAAUGACUGACAUAUACUGUACCUG